rnacentral:rRNA from 1 species
AGUGAACGUUGGCGGCGUGGAUUAGGCAUGCAAGUCGAGCGAUCGUAGCAAUACGGGAGCGGCAAACGGGGUAGGAAUACAUCGGAACGUACCUUUUGGUUGAGAAUAGCGUUGGGAAACUGACGGUAAUACUCAAUAAAGUCGAGAGACCGAAGGUUUACUGCCGGAAGAGCGGCCGAUGCGAUAUUAGGUAGUUGGUGGGGUAAUGGCCUACCAAGCCUGAGAUGUCUAGGGGGUGUGAGAGCAUGGCCCCCACCACUGGGACUGAGAUACUGCCCAGACACCUACGGGUGGCUGCAGUCGAGGAUCUUCGUCAAUGGGCGAAAGCCUGAACGAGCGACGCCGCGUGCGGGAUGAAGGCCCUUGGGUUGUAAACCGCUGUCAGGGGGGAUGAAACCGUAAGGUUGACAGAGCCCCAGAGGAAGCACGGGCUAAGUUCGUG